rnacentral:lncRNA from 1 species
AUGCAAGCUCGGCAGCCAAGGCAGGGACGAUACACUUUUGGAGUAAGGCACGCUCCUUCCUCACCUCUGGACCUCCACUCUGCUCCGCCUCCCCUGACUCUGUGUCUCAGCUGCCCCAAGAGGCCCAUGGGGACCGCAGAAGGUUCUUUCUGGACACUGAAAACAUGUCUCACCCGUUCCCCACCCCAUUUCUCAAAAAGCCUCAGCGCUGGAUUGAAAAGCACGUAUUGCAACAGGAUGAUUGAGGGAAGGAAGCUUAGGUAUGGAGCCAUGUGAACGCUCUCCUUGAGCUGCGUGAGGCAGUCCCAGCACCCUGAAUGCUCUGCCCAGCUCAGGAGCCCAGCUCUCCCGGAAGCAAGAACCCUGUGCCCCUGAAAGCGGCCCCCACCCCCAUUCUGCGUGGGGUUGUUUGGGGUACGGAGGAGGGGAGGCUGAUGGCAAAGGCUGCACCUUGUCCUCUCAUUACAUAUUAAUGAGACGCUGAUGAGCACACUGCUACCACCAUUGAGAGUUCACUUGGUGUUACGUGCUUUAUUUAUAUAACAGUGUGGAGCGUUGCUAGAAUGUUGUAUCUGCUCCCCAGUGUCCAUCCUUUCCUCGCUUGCUCAAUAAACCCGAUCUCUUGCUGGGUGGCA